CACCAGCCCCUCGAGUGGUGGGGAUGAUUAUUUGGCCUAAAGCGUCCGUAGCCGGCCGGGUAAGUUUCCCGUUAAAUCCAGCGUCUCAAGCGUUGGACUGCGGGAAAUACUGCCUGGCUAGAGAGUGGGAGAGGUGUACGGUAUUCUGGGGGUAGGGGCGAAAUCCUUUGAUCCCCGGAGGACCACCAGUGGCGAAGGCUGUACACUAGAACACGUCUGACGGUCAGGGACGAAAGCUGGGGUAGCGAACCGGAUUAGACACCCGGGUAGUCCCAGCUGUAAACGAUGCAUGCUAGGUGUUGGGUUGGCCACGAGCCACCCCAGUGCCGCAGGGAAGCCGUUAAACAUGCCGCCUGGGAAGUACGAUCGCAAGAUUGAACUUAAAGGAAUUGGCGGGGGAGCACCACCAGGCGUGAAGCCUGCGGUUU
rnacentral:rRNA from 1 species